CAGCAGCCGCGGUAAUACGAAGGGUGCAAGCGUUAAUCGGAAUUACUGGGCGUAAAGCGUGCGUAGGCGGUGAGUUAAGUCUGCUGUGAAAUCCCCGGGCUCAACCUGGGAAUGGCAGUGGAUACUGGAUCGCUAGAGUGCGUCAGAGGAUGGUGGAAUUCCGCGUGUAGCGGUGAAAUGCGUAGAGAUCGGGAGGAACAUCAGUGGCGAAGGCGGCCAUCUGGGACUGCACUGACGCUGAGGCACGAAAGCGUGGGGAGCAAACAGGAUUAGAUACCCCCGUAGUCCCUGUCUCUUAUAC
rnacentral:rRNA from 1 species